rnacentral:rRNA from 1 species
AAGUCCCGCAACGAGCGCAACCCCUACCCUUAAUUGCCAUCAGGUUAAGCUGGGCACUUUAGGGGGACUGCCGGUGACAAGCCGGAGGAAGGUGGGGAUGACGUCAAGUCCUCAUGGCCUUUAUGACCAGGGCUACACACGUGUUACAAUGGGAGUUACAGAGGGAAGCUAAACCGCGAGGUCAUGCCAAUCCCAGAAAAACUUUCUCAGUUCGGAUAGCAGUCUGCAACUCGACUGCUUGAAGCUGGAAUCGCUAGUAAUCGCGGAUCAGCACGCCGCGGUGAAUACGUUCCCGGGCCUUGUACACACCGCCCGUCACACCAUGGGAGCCGACAAGGGCAGAAGUCGCCGAGCUAACCUUCGGGAAGCAGGCGCCCAAGCUGUUGUUGACGACUGGGGUGAAGUCGUAACAAGGUAGCCGUAGGAGAACCUGCGGCUGGAUCACCUCCUUU